AUGAAUGCACAAUGGAAGGAUCCAUGGAUUGUGUGCGGAGAUUUCAAUGAAAUUCUUUCUCAGGAUGAACUUUGUGGACCCCGUGAUCAUUCCGAUUCACAGAUUGCUGCUUUUAGGGAUUGUUUGAUGGACUAUGAACUUCUAGACCUAGGUUUCAAUGGUCCUAAAUUUACUGGGAGUAAUCGUCAAAACCUGGAGUGUCAUGUCAAAGUCCGUCUGGAUAGGGCGGUGGCAAAUAGUGAGUUCACAAGUAUGUACGAGGAUUGCAAUGUUGAGCAUGUGAUCACAACCUCCUCUGAUCACUACGCCAUUAUUAUUGGUUUUGCUCGGUCGAUAGAUGUACGUGAUCACAUACCAGUGCAACAAGGAUUUAAAUAUGAGGUUGUGUGGCUUAGAGCGGCUGAUUAUAAAGAGCAUCUUGAACGUGUCUGGGCUGAGGAGAGGACGGGUGACUUGUCCCUUCAGGCUACUUGGUAUAAUCUUCAUAGGGUUGUUGACUCCUUGAAGGUUUGGAACCGGGACUCAUUUGGUUCUUCGGUAACAGAUCAAUAA
rnacentral:rRNA from 1 species